UACGUAGGCAGCGAGCGUUGUUCGGAGUUACUGGGCGUAAAGGGUGUGUAGGCGGUUUUCUAAGUUUGGUGUGAAAUCUCCCGGCUCAACCGGGAGGGUGCGCCGAAAACUGGGGAGACUAGAGUGCGGGAUGGGAGAGUAGAAUUCCGUGGUGUAGCGGUGAAAUGCGUAGAUAUCAGGAGGAAUACCGGUGGUGUAGACGGCUCUCUGGACCGCAACUGACGCUGAGACACGAAAGCGUGGGUAGCAAACAGGG
rnacentral:rRNA from 1 species